rnacentral:rRNA from 1 species
GAGGAAUAAUGGUCAAUGGGCGGAAGCCUGAACCAGCCAAGUAGCGUGCAGGAUGACGGCCCUACGGGUUGUAAACUGCUUUUUUGCGGGAAUAAAGGGGCCCACGUGUGAGCCUUUGCAUGUACCGCACGAAUAAGGACCGGCUAAUUCCGUGCCAGCAGCCGCGGUAAUACGGAAGGUCCGGGCGUUAUCCGGAUUUAUUGGGUUUAAAGGGAGCGUAGGCCGCCUUUUAAGCGUGCUGUGAAAUACCGUUGCCCAACAACGGGGCUGCAGCGCGAACUGGAGGGCUUGAGUUCACGGGAAGCCGGCGGAAUUCGUCGUGUAGCGGUGAAAUGCUUAGAUAUGACGAAGAACUCCGAUUGCGAAGGCAGCCGGCUGUAGUGUUACUGACGCUGAAGCUCGAAAGUGCGGGUAUCGAACAGG